rnacentral:rRNA from 1 species
UACGAAGGGGGCUAGCGUUGCUCGGAAUCACUGGGCGUAAAGCGCACGUAGGCGGACUCUUAAGUCGGUGGUGAAAUCCUGGAGCUCAACUCCAGAACUGCCUUCGAUACUGAGAGUCUCGAGUCCGAGAGAGGUGAGUGGAACUGCGAGUGUAGAGGUGAAAUUCGUAGAUAUUCGCAAGAACACCAGUGGCGAAGGCGGCUUACUGGUCCGGUUCUGACGCUGAGGCGCGAAAGCCAGGGGAGCAAACGGG